GACGAACGCUGGCGGCGUGCUUAACACAUGCAAGUCGAACGGAAAGGCCCUGCUUUUGUGGGGUGCUCGAGUGGCGAACGGGUGAGUAACACGUGAGUAACCUGCCCUUGACUUUGGGAUAACUUCAGGAAACUGGGGCUAAUACCGGAUAGGAGCUCCUGCUGCAUGGUGGGGGUUGGAAAGUUUCGGCGGUUGGGGAUGGACUCGCGGCUUAUCAGCUUGUUGGUUGGGUAGUGGCUUACCAAGGCUUUGACGGGUAGCCGGCCUGAGAGGGUGACCGGCCACAUUGGGACUGAGAUACGGCCCAGAAUCCUACGGGAGGCAGCAGUGGGGAAUAUUGCACAAUGGGCGGAAGCCUGAUGCAGCAACGCCGCGUGCGGGAUGACGGCCUUCGGGUUGUAAACCGCUUUAGCCUGUGACGAAGCGUGAGUGACGGUAAUGGGUAAAGAAGCACCGGCUAACUACGUG
rnacentral:rRNA from 1 species